CCCUGCACGUAACCCGUGUCCAGAUGUUGCCACACAUAGCUAUGAAGAUAAAAAGUCAGUAGAUUAAAACAAUUAUAGACUUGAUGUGUUUCCAAUGGUAUCACCUGCACAUGAUGUUCCUCAGCUUGUCCAGGUUUUCGGGAGUGAAGUACCAAUAGGUUCUGUCACACCGUCGGACAUCUUUGUCGAUGCGAUGCAAGUUGAUCAGAUACAUGUCCAGUGUUUCUUGCUGCAGAAGAGCAAGAGAGAGAAAGCAGGUUUAGGUUUAGGAUUAAAGCUUAAAUACAGUGGAACAACUUAGCUUUCUUACAGAGUAGGUUUUGUGCACCAAGGAUUUGUCACAUUUAGACUCUACUGCGGCCUCUACAGGUUCAGGUGCUGUAAACACAUUUUCGGUGUCAGGCUCAUCUUCGGAAAGUCCCAGGUCCGUGCCCUCAGGACUGGUGUUGCAAGCUGUGUCCAGAUGGUGAUCUAAGACGAGGUCCUCAGGUGCUGUCUUCCCUCUCCGAGCCAGCGAAGCCGGAGGGGCGGCAAGGGCAGUCAAAGGCCUAAUGCUAAUUUCCUCCAGGUUCAAACAUGUCACCCCGGCAGGGAUGUCCUCCAUCUCUAAGGCGGAGGGGGAAUCGUCCGAGUCCGGAGACGGCCGGGUGUGGGAGGACAGCGAAAGGCUCCCGCGGGAUGCCAACUGGAGAGCAUUGAGGACUUGCCUUACAGGUGAGUUUGAGCCUUUCUCAAAUGGGAUGUCUGAUACUUUUCUGGCUUCACACACAGAAUCCAUUGCCUCAACUGAAAUUGCUUUUUCUAAACACUCUGGUUCAGCCCCAAUUUGUGGAAUUCCGUCUGGUGUUAGCAGAGAAACUGACUUACUGUCCUGAUCUUUUGUAUUUUGUGCUUGAAAAUUUAAAGCCUGACCCAUCGGAGGGGCUUGGAAAUAUUUGUUCUGAAUCUCAGUUUCCAGCUUGAUAAUAUUGGUGUUCCCUGGGGGAGAUCUUACAUCCUUCUUUGUAAUUAUACUUUUUACCAUACCAGAUUUCUCAUUAGCAUUUUUGGACUUCUCAGCGUCAGAGCACUUUAGUUUCAUUGUGUUUCCAGAAUCCUCACCCCCGUCACUUUCAGUCUCCAUCCUUUCAAUCCCUAAGAAGCCGUCCUUUGCCCUUGAGUCUAGAAUAUUUUCACUGUCUGGCAGUGAUUCAUCCACAGAUUGUACGUUGAAGACGUCUGAUGUGUCCAUUGACUGCUGAGAAGAUCCAAUCACUGGCUCCGUUGAACCUGUAGGGUCGGAUCGGUUGCUGGAGCUAACAGGACCAGCAGGGAUGUCCUUAAUUGGACUGUUGUGCUGCUUUUGACUUUCUUCCGGUCUCGUCUCCAUCGGAUCGCCGGCAUCGACCGAUACGAACACCUAAAGAACAAGAAGGGUCAGUGACCGAAGCCAAAAUUGAUUGAGUUGAUGUAUCAUAUAAUUCAGAGUAGCAUUUCAGCAACAAGGCCCGAUUCUGUCAGUUGAUUCCUACUUUAUGUGAUGCUUAUGAGACUUGAACUAAAGAUGGACCUUACCAGUGCACUACUGCUGGAGUCGCUCUGUGACUGCACAUUUUGUUGAUCUGAGUUACUGCUGAGCGACGACUAAAGUGGAAAGGAGAACUGUUGACUUACAUCUGUGCUGAUGGUGGAGUCCCGCUCGACAGGCCCCCUCUCGACGCUGGCGCCUGACGAACAUCUAGCGAGGGCCUCGACGUGUUUCUCUCGCUCCCUUUGGCGCACGAUGUCCUCACAACCUUGCCACUCCUUCAUGUUCUGCUCGUACAAGGCGCGCAUCUGCUGUGUCCCAACAGGAAGGGCCACACCUCUUUGCGUAGAGAAGGUGCCACACCGCCAAAAUACACAAGCCUGUGUAUCUCAUGUUCCUCAGCUGUCGUGGAGGAACUUGGCCCAGACGUCCACAGAGAGGCCUCCUUGGGCAUCCGAAGGCACAUCGGGGACGACGAUAGUGGUGUUGACCAGAGCCGAGAGUUCCAGGUCCUAAGUGGCGGUCAAAGUGUCCCAUCUUGUCAGACUAUAUGACCAGCCACCUUCUGUCCAGGAAACAGGAUCCGGAACACAUAAUCGGUGGCUUCCUCAUCCUCUUUAUCAGACACCGAGUCACAUGACCCAUGUGGGCUCCUCCUACGCAAUUUGGGGAAAACCUUUCCCUGUGCAUGAAAGACAAAAACACACUCUUGAUACACAAGGUCAAAUAGGAAAUGUCCUGCAUUCAUGCUGACCUUCCCUCUCUGAUUCCAGAGCGGCGGGUCCAACUGGCCGUGAGGUAGCAGGCCAGUCUCCAGGCAGGCGAUGGCUGUUUACGACCCCGUCCCUUUGGAAGCAGCUGUUGCCAUGUGGUCAGGGAAGGUCCAAAUAAAAGAAGGAGGCGUGCAAUCUUUUGGCAGAGCGUAAUGACACUGUGCAAGGAUGUCAUCAGUGUUUGAACCUGACAGGAACCAACUUGAUCUUGGCACAGAUGAGUUCUACUUCUAUUAUUUCAAACAUGGAAGACAAUAUGAACAAAUGGGCUGACCCGGACCCUGCAGUUGAGGGGAAAAAACACCCGGAAUUGCAUCGUCACCUGUUUUCUAUGAGGCGCUCCAGCUCUUGGACCUUGUGACAAAGUUGCUCAGCGGGCGAGCAGCUCUUUGCCACCUUCAUGAAGAGCGCCGCGACCUUGUUACUGCACAGCAGCCCCGCGAUGCGCCGCUUGAGUCCAUGCAGCACACAGGCCUCCACCACGGCUGCACACGUUGAAACACAGACUCGUUAAGGCACAAUAAGGUUGGUUUUUUUUACUCACACUGGGCAGAAUGGUUGACAAUUAAAAAUCAGGUGACAGGAAGGCACAGGUGGCACAAAGAGGGCAAAACACUGUUGCUAGGAUAUGAGGGAUGUGAACACACUCCUGGUUAGUAACACCUCCAGGAGGUGUAAUCCUACUUAUUAUAAUACAUCAGGCCAGCUUUUCCUACACACAAGUGCAAUCUGAGGAGAAUAUGUUCUAAUAACGACUACAGUCUGCCCUCCCAACAUUUCAAUUUGCACAGAAGAUAAUCACACAUUCAGCCUAUAAUUGAAAAGGCCUAUGGGGAUUGUCAGGGGGGCUCGCUGAGCUUGCGCUUUUCUCCGUAAAACAAAAACAGCGCGCCGGUUUUACCACAGAAGGAGAUGAUGUGGCUGCUGUCGGCGUGCACGAACUUCCUGGUCACCGCCUCCUCCAUGAUCUGUUUCACCUGUGGGGAGACAACACGCGUGUCCAGUGACACGCUAAAGUCUUCCAUCAAAAUACAACACAUGCAGAACUUGCAGUUAUAUAUAGUAGAAGAUCUUUGACUGGUUAUGCAGUAGAUCCCGACAACAGCAGAGUAUUCCUGUCUAAUUGAGGAUUUUUGACUAUAAAUAGAUCCCAGGGCACUCCGGUCAAAUCAAGGAUCUUGGACUGGUUAUGCAGUAGAUCCUUCAAAAAGCAGAUUUCCCAGAAUUCUAGGUUUUCCGGGACAUUUUUCAAACUUUCCCCAUUUUCACAUUUUUCAACCAAUUCAAACCAUUCCACCUUCAACACAUUCCACCAUUUUGGAAAUUCCAACUACUCUUUUUCCGAGUUCAAAAAAAUUCCAGGAUUUUUCAGAAUUCCUGGUUUUCCAAAACCCUAUUUCCACUCCUUUUUUCUGGCGACCACAUUUUCCAACCCACGUCAAAGCAUUUCUCUUAAUCAGGACAAAAAAACAAAGUUGUUUUUUGAACUGGAAAAAUUCCCGGUUUUCCAGGAAUUCCGUAAUACCAUUUCUCAAUUCAACAUGUUACGACCGAUUUGAAAAUUUUUAACACGAACCAUUUCAACUUAUUCAAGACCAUUCAAGUUUUUUUUACCAUCUUCCAAAAAAUUCCUGCUUUUCCAGAAAUUCCCACAUUUUGGGGGGAAAACGGGCAUUCUUCAAAGUUCCACAACUCCCACAUUUUUCAUCUGAUUCAAACUCUUCCAACUUCAAAAUAUUCAGCCUGUUCAAAAUUGUGUGCUCUACUUCAACAAUUCUAAAAAAAAAAAUUCCAGGAUUUUACAGAAUUCCUGGUUUUCCAAAGCCCUAUUUCCACCCCUUUUUUCUGGCGACCACAUUUUUCAACCGUUCCACCAUCAAAACAUUCCUCUUAAUCAGGACAAAAAAAACCAAGUUGUUUUUUGAACUGGAAAAAUUCCCGGUUUUCCCGAAAUUCCAGGAUUCCGUAAUACCAUUUCUCAAUUCAACAUGUUACUACCGAUUUGAAAUUUUUUUAACACCAACCAUUUCAACUCAUUCAAGACCAUUCAAGUUUUUUUACCAUCUUCCAAAAAAUUCCCGCUUUUCCAGA